rfam:Pasteurella multocida subsp. multocida str. Anand1_buffalo contig546, whole genome shotgun sequence.
UGAGUUGGUCAGACAAUCGCUGGUUUAUUGAAGCCCUUAACCGUCUUUAUGACGACCUAGUGGGACAAAUAGACGAGAGGAAAGUCCGAGCUACACAGGGCAGAGUGCCAGGUAACGCCUGGGAGGCGCGAGCCUACGACAAGUGCAACAGAGAGCAGACCGCCAGUUUCGGCUGGUAAGGGUGAAAGGGUGCGGUAAGAGCGCACCGCAUGGCUGGCAACAGUACAUGGCAGGGUAAACUCCACUCGUAGCAAGACCAAAUAGGAAUCCAAUGAGUGGCCCGCUCAGGAUUCGGGUAGGUUGCUUGAGCGUAUGUGCGAAUGUACGCCUAGAGGAAUGAUUGUCCGCGACAGAACUCGGCUUAUCGACCAACUCAGUAC